rnacentral:lncRNA from 1 species
ACCCUGAUUGUGAAGUGUGAGGCCAAAGACGAUUGUUGUUGUAUAUUGUAGAUAUCUUGAUGAAAUUAUCAUGGUCGGUUAUGAGGUAUAAGACAUGUAAUAAUAUUAUUUUAAAAAUAAUAUAUAUUCCAUAAAAUGAGUUUAUCUCUAUUCAAAGAUAUAUGUUCAUUAAAUGAAGAGGAUCGCAACUCCAUAAUACGACAGAUAAUAUGACGAUUGUACUUUUUGAUUGGAUUACUCUUGAAGUUGCCAACAAAUUAAUAAAAAAAUUGUGCUAUUUGUGUUGUUAUUUGUUCUUUCGGACACACCAUUAUGCUUAGGU